rnacentral:rRNA from 1 species
AGCGAACGCUGGCGGCAGGCUUAACACAUGCAAGUCGAGCGGGCCCUUCGGGGUCAGCGGCAGACGGGUGAGUAACACGUGGGAACGUACCCUUUGGUUCGGAAUAACGCUGGGAAACUAGCGCUAAUACCGGAUACGCCCUUUUGGGGAAAGGCUUGCUGCCGAAGGAUCGGCCCGCGUCUGAUUAGCUAGUUGGUGGGGUAAUGGCCUACCAAGGCGACGAUCAGUAGCUGGUCUGAGAGGAUGAUCAGCCACACUGGGACUGAGACACGGCCCAGACUCCUACGGGAGGCAGCAGUGGGGAAUAUUGGACAAUGGGCGCAAGCCUGAUCCAGCCAUGCCGCGUGAGUGAUGAAGGCCUUAGGGUUGUAAAGCUCUUUUGUCCGGGAUGAUAAUGACGGUACCGGAAGAAUAAGCCCCGGCUAACUUCGUG